rnacentral:snRNA from 1 species
AUGUGAACGGCACUUGCA